UACAAAUUACUGUUAAGGAUUGUCAUUCUGCUCUUCAUAUAGCAGCUCAAUUCGAGAUUCCUUGUAUGCUUUUGGAGAAUCGAUAAGCCAAUCCAGAUUGGUUGAAUCGUCAUACAAGUGUGUUCAGUUUUAUCGUCGUAUGUGCUCUGACCAGCCUCCCGCUACCAUUCUCCGACCACCCACCAGAGUUUGUCAAUGAUUACACAACGACAACCCACCGGCAUGAAACCUACAAUCACCGCCGUUGAAUGCUUUUUCCCAACUUGUGGUUACUCUCCAAUCAGUAACUCUUUCAUCUCUGCAAGAUCGGAAGAUCUAAGGUUAUAAAUUGAAGACGAAUAAUUGAAGGAGACAUGUGUGCUGAGAGAUCGAUUAGGUCUCUUUUUAGGCAAUAUGGGGCUUUACCCAGAUUGUCAUACUCACUCAUCAUUGUGAUUCCAGUCGCUUCAUCCACAACUUUAGAGGUUGAAAUUUAUUAGGAAACUAAACUGAUAAAAUCCCAGUGCCAAAGGUGAUUAUAAAUCAGGACUCAGAUCUAGAUCUAGAUCUUGAUGCAAGUGUGAUGGGAUCACUUACAAAUCUUGGAAUGAAUGUUGUCAAGGCAAAUGAUCAUCUGAAUUCUUCCGGGAAUCACACCAUGUUUUUAACAACUGAAGCAUCAUAGACAUGAUGCAGCAAGAGCAGAAAAUUCAUUUACUCUUAUUUUUAGGAGUGAAUUAAUCGGUAUGCAAAUCUGCAAAAAAGGUAUAUAGGUUUUUUCUACUGUUAUUUCUAGAUAUAGCAAAAUGUGCGUGUUAGGCAACAAUUCAAAACGGGCCAGGUUGGGUUGACCUUAAACAUGAUGGUUUUGGUGACCAACAACACAAAUUUUAUCUUUGAACUAUAUUUUGUAUCAUUUUUACCUUAGUUGGGAUUCUUUUGUUACCGAUGAUUAGGGGUGUUCAUGGUUUGGUUUAAAACUGAGAAACCGUCCAAACCGAUCAUCGGUUUGGUUACAUGUUCGGUUUUUUAUUAACUUUCAGUCAGUCGGUUUUAAAAAUUCCAAACUAUAGCAUACGGUUCGGUUUUCGGUUGAUACCAAAAAUCGGUCGUAUAAAACUGGACCAUUUGUUUGAUAAUAUAUUGAGCUUAAUAAAAAAAAAAACUAUCCAAAUAAGACUUGAAGUGGAACCAUUGGGUGUAUUUAUAUUAGCUUAUCCCUGUAUGGGUUGUAUGAAAAAUUAUAAUGUCUCUGGUCACUUCAAACAAAACCUCAAUAAUUUAGUUAGUAAUUAGUUAUCUUAUUAUUGUUUUCUAUUGAUGUGAUAAAUGGAUAAGUAGACUAGAGAUUUGAACAAUUUGUUUCCAUCUAGCCAAUAAUUCAGUAUCAAGUUUCACACUUAAAUAUUAUUUUUUUAUAAAUCCAUGGUUGCUAUUGUAGACAAUAUUCCUAUAAGUACAGUGACUUCGUUUAUAUUGUUACUUGGGCAGGGGCAAAAUUGCAAAGGCUAAAAGACUGAUGAUGUUCAAACUGGUAACGGUUUGGUUUGGUUUCAAAUUUCAGCGGUUUGGUUCUGGUUUACAAUCAUAAAAAAUCAUUAGUGGCUUACGGUUUGCCUAAAAACCGUAAAAAAAACCGAACCGUGAACGCCCCUAUUAAUGAUGAUACUUGCAAAGUGUGAAUUGUUUACUUGAAUAUACUUUUAAAUGCCGAAUUUUACCUUCAAAUACCGCUACCGUACCGAUACCAUACCGAUACCGUACCGUACCGACAUAUUUCGCUAUGUGUAUCGGUACCCGGUUUUGGCGGAAUUCGGUAUCGGGACGGGAUCGGGAUUUGAUCAUCCCUACUUACUUAAAGACUUUUCAUCUUGAAACAUUUGUACUGAUCAAUAAUCAUAUAUAUAAUGGGUUGAUUACUGGUGCCCAAAUGGUUUCAAGUGUGAACUCAAUUAUCAAGCACUAGUGUUUGCACCAGGUGGAGAUCUUAUAAAGGUUAAAAGAGCAGUUUGCAUGAUCAGCAACAACACAGCAGUUGCCAAGGGGUUGCAAAAAAAUGUCACAUUUUGUAAUAUUUGUUGAGCUAUCAAGACCUUGAUGCUCUAGAGGAUGAGGUCAUUGUCAUAGAGUACGAGAGCAUGCACACUAUUCUUUAAUGGAGUUGAAGGACCAAGGCCUGACCUGACCCAACCGAACGCACAUUUAAGCUGAGUUUUUUUUUUCUGAAGACGACGUGAGUCAUUGAUCGAAUUGAGUAUGUUCUACCUACCAUUAACCACUUCGAAUGGAGAUAAAAAGGUGUUCUUUUGUUCUCAUUUUAGUCAUUUCUGAUUAUGAUUGUAUUUGAUGAUCUUAAUUUAUUGGUUGAUAUAUGCUACUAUGUCGAUCUUUAAAUUUUUUUUGACAAUGCAGUGCACUGUUUUACU
rnacentral:lncRNA from 1 species